UGGGGAAUAUUGGACAAUGGGCGCAAGCCUGAUCCAGCAAUGCCGCGUGUGCGAUGAAGGCCUGAGGGUUGUAAAGCACUUUCGUUGGGAAAGAAAUGCUCAAAGCUAAUACCUUUGAGAGUUGACGUUACCUAAAGAAGAAGCACCGGCUAACUCUGUGCCAGCAGCCGCGGUAAUACAGAGGGUGCAAGCGUUAAUCGGAGUUACUGGGCGUAAAGGGCGCGUAGGCGGAUGUUUAAGUUAAUUGUGAAAUCCCUGGGCUUAACCUAGGAAUUGCAGUUAAUACUGGACGUCUAGAGUAUGGUAGAGGAAGGUGGAAUUUCCGGUGUAGCGGUGAAAUGCGUAGAUAUCGGAAAGAACAUCAGUGGCGAAGGCGGCCUUCUGGACCAAUACUGACGCUGAGGCGCGAAAGCGUGGGGAGCAAACAGG
rnacentral:rRNA from 1 species